CAAAAAAACAUAACCCUAAUUCUCUAUUGACGCUGUUUGACGUUUCAUUUUGACGCAGCUCUCUCCAUCUCUCUCUGUCUCAGCCUCUCCAUUGCAGCUCUUCUCACUCUCGAGUCUCGCCAUAGCUCUCUUUUCUCAGCCUCUCUCCAUCUCUCUCCGUCGAUCUCUCUUGUCUCAGCUUCGUCAUCGCUCUCCGUAGAUCUAUCUCGUCUCAGCCUCUCCCUAUCGGCGUUCCUCUCAAGUUCAGACCCCUCAUGCUCUCACUCUCUCGACGACGCUCAGACCCUCUCAAGCUCUCGACGACCAUCUUACGCACUCUCUCAAGGUCAUCACUCUCAAGGUCAUCACCUCUCUUUGAGCUUCGACCAAACCCAUAUCGAGCUUUCUCUUCUCCUCCACAGACGACGCCUCUCGAGCUCCCUCGUCUCCUCCACAGACGACGCCGUACAGUACAUUCAUGGUUUAGCUGCUAAAGGAGUACAUUAUAUUCAUCGCCCUGCUCCUACUCUCCAGGAUCUUGGCUUCUUUCUUCUUCCGGAGCUUGGUCAAGAGAGAAGCUACAUAAGUGAGACCCUCUUCACUACUGUUUUUCUUUCUUUCUUCCUGGCUUCGUUUCACUUCUGCCAUCAUACUUAACAAAAGUAUCGAAUCUAGAGAAAGUGACUGUUAAGGAUAUAGCCCCUCUUCUUCGUUGGGUCUCAAGCUCUCCCAAGCUUCUCUCACUCAAGCUCUCCCAAGCUCACUCUGUUUCUGUUCUUGUCAAUGAAACUGGCUACUGUAAAUCCAAGGAUGGAGUUUAAUGCUAAUCCUGCUUUAUCCACAGAGGUAAGCUUGCACUGAUACAAUGUUGCUUGCUCUUAUCACGCAAUGGCUUGCUCAGAGCAAAGGCUUCUCAGACACAUGCCUAGAUACUCAGACACACAGUUUCCCUCGGGUGAUGGGUUUGUUCAAGCUGAGGUAGUUGUUAGUAGUUAAUGUCAACACUACAGAUGAAGCUUGAGCCAUAAAAGCUAGGUGUUUGUUAUUGUAUCUCUCUGUACAGACAGAAACCAAGAAGUGAUGUGUACGGAGUGAAACAUGUGGCAACUAACGUUUACUAUCGUUUUUUCC